GGGCCCGUAGCUUAGUUGGUAGAGCGCCUCGAUGGCAUCGAGGAGGUCGUCAGUUCAAGUCUGAUCGGGUCCACCA
rnacentral:tRNA from 1 species